GCCAGGAUGUUGUUGGCAGUCACCGCUGGCCAAGUCCCGUAAAUUCAUGGAGGUAAUGCAGUGUACAUACUGAAACCUUGUCUCAUGGGGGAAAAAAAAAAUCAGAAGCCAGUCUGUUUUAAUCUACCUUACUGUGGAAGUGACACUGUGAGACCUCGACUUAGAGUGUUUCUUCCUGGAAGCCAGAGAUGCGAUAAUU